rnacentral:rRNA from 1 species
GUCCUACGGGACGCAGCAGUGGGGAAUAUUGCACAAUGGGGGAAACCCUGAUGCAGCGACGCCGCGUGAGUGAAGAAGUAUUUCGGUAUGUAAAGCUCUAUCAGCAGGGAAGAAGUUGACGGUACCUGAGUAAGAAGCCCCGGCUAACUACGUGCCAGCAGCCGCGGUAAUACGUAGGGGGCAAGCGUUAUCCGGAUUUACUGGGUGUAAAGGGAGCGUAGACGGUGCAGCAAGUCUGGAGUGAAAGGCAGGGGCCCAACCCCUGGACUGCUCUGGAAACUGUUGUACUUGAGUGCAGGAGAGGG